AGUACAUCGCAACUUGUGAUGGCGGACAUUUUGACGGAAAAAUUUGUGCUGACAUUGUCACAAAAGAUUGAUCCUGGGCAGGUCACCGCACAAACCAUAAGCGUUUGCCUGGGAUUAAGCCGAGCCAAGGGCUCUGGCGCAGCGAUACAGGCAAAUGUCGACAAAAAUCAACAUUACGCAUUCGAAGAUCUCUUGUGCCAGUAUGUUUUGAGGAAUGGACGGAACAGUGAAAGUGCUCUCAAUCUGAGAAGGAAAUUUCUAGAGAAUGGCAUGAAGGAAUAUGCUGACGUCAUCAAAGCAGAACUAGAGAAGUUUAGAAUUCCUGUCCCGUCAGACAAAGAAACACUCAAGGACUGACUUGUAUCCUCCCCGAGCCAUCCUUGCGGCACACCAGUUGCAUGGAAGUAAGUGAUGAAUUUGACAAGAUCUUGCGGAGGGUAGCCGAGUUUAUGAGUGAUGAUUAAGAAAUCGACCGCCUUGCUUCGGAACUGUACGUCAGCGUACCAGAUACCGAACGCUUCAUCCGAAAAAUGAUGGCGUCACUUGGAGAGGUACCCUCGACAUGCUGAGGACAUGGCGCAAAAGGGUUGAUAAAUCGCAGGAACGUGUAAGACUUAGGGCUGCUCUACUUAGGGCUGAACAGAUUAACCUUGUGAGCACCCUACUACCAGAAGAGGAGGAUUAAUAAUUGAAGAGAAAGAUGAGUUCUGAGAAAGGUGGAAAAUGAUUUUGAGCCCCUUUCUUCUAUUCUCUUUACGUUAGUGUGAAAAAUAACAUAGUUAAAAAAAUCCCCUGCAAAAAAGGGGCACUUCAAAAAACCCUUACAUUCGAAAUAUACCAAGAAACAGAUGAAGUGUUCAGACAAAAUUUAAUGCCACAUGUGUGCGUAAUCCCAUAUACACAUUUAUAUUUACAAUGCACGUGACAUCCAGCUAGACUGUUUUUAGAUGUUGAUGAUUCCGAUAGUACACCAAUUCCUAAGUGCUACAUAAUCAACCCUUUUCCAUUGCGAAAGCUCCCCUCCCCAAUGUUUUCAUAUUUCCCUUUUUUAAAUCGCGACGGACAUGGAAAACGCAUGCAAAUAACCCCCAAGUUCCUCAAGUCUCCCUAAACCUUAUUUUAGGCCCGCUACUGCACAUGACCACCUUUUUACAGGAGUUAGCUAGAUUUCAACCCACAUCGACAUGGGAUGACGAGUGACGAAGCAGAACUAACUGAACUACAGCACAAAAUAGCACUUUGUUACAAUAUUUUGUUCAACAAGUCAGGUUACCCCCAGAACAGUGUUCAUAUUGUCCUGAGUGAAUCUUCUUGUUCAAAAUGUGUUUUGUUUGUCUGGUGUUUUUGUUUUUUAAACGUAAACGUGCUUUCACUGAGGUAUUUGUCUCAAAACUGUUUACAGCUAGUAACACCAGAGGUGACAGUAGCGUCUCUAGGUAUUGUGGCACCUGUUUUGUGGCACCAUUGUUUGUGAUUGAAUUAUUACAAGUUUCUCUUUUUUUAUGUUUCAUUUUUAUUUUGUUACAUUAUCCCAUGUUCUUUCAAACAAAUAGUGGCUUCUAAAAAUAUAUUAUUGGCUGACGAAAUAUUCCUUGUCUCAUAUUCAAUGUGUCAUAUUUUAUACCACAGUACUUCUACAUCUUCCCCGUUCAGUGUUUAAAACUCGAUUAAAUUUCAUUAUACAAAUAGGGGAAUGACCCAGCUGUCUUUCCCUUUCUUUUUCUACGUAAGAAAGGAGUUUUUAUAUUCAUUGCAUUGAAAUGAUGUACGGCUGUAUAUGCAUAGUUUGUUUGAUUAAAAAUGCAUUAGACGUA